AUUGAACGCUGGCGGCAUGCCUUACACAUGCAAGUCGAACGGCAGCGCGGGGCAACCUGGCGGCGAGUGGCGAACGGGUGAGUAAUAUAUCGGAACGUACCCUGGAGUGGGGGAUAACGUAGCGAAAGUUACGCUAAUACCGCAUACGAUCUAAGGAUGAAAGUGGGGGAUCGCAAGACCUCAUGCUCCUGGAGCGGCCGAUAUCUGAUUAGCUAGUUGGUGGGGUAAAGGCCUACCAAGGCAUCGAUCAGUAGCUGGUCUGAGAGGACGACCAGCCACACUGGAACUGAGACACGGUCCAGACUCCUACGGGAGGCAGCAGUGGGGAAUUUUGGACAAUGGGCGAAAGCCUGAUCCAGCAAUGCCGCGUGAGUGAAGAAGGCCUUCGGGUUGUAAAGCUCUUUUGUCAGGGAAGAAACGGUGAGGGCUAAUAUCCUUUGCUAAUGACGGUACCUGAAGAAUAAGCACCGGCUAACUACGUGCCAGCAGCCGCGGUAAUACGUAGGGUGCAAGCGUUAAUCGGAAUUACUGGGCGUAAAGCGUGCGCAGGCGGUUUUGUAAGUCUGUCGUGAAAUCCCCGGGCUCAACCUGGGAAUUGCGAUGGAGACUGCAAGGCUAGAAUCUGGCAGAGGGGGGUAGAAUUCCACGUGUAGCAGUGAAAUGCGUAGAGAUGUGGAGGAACACCGAUGGCGAAGGCAGCCCCCUGGGUCAAGAUUGACGCUCAUGCACGAAAGCGUGGGGAGCAAACAGGAUUAGAUACCCUGGUAGUCCACGCCCUAAACGAUGUCUACUAGUUGUCGGGUUUUAAUUAACUUGGUAACGCAGCUAACGCGUGAAGUAGACCGCCUGGGGAGUACGGUCGCAAGAUUAAAACUCAAAGGAAUUGACGGGGACCCGCACAAGCGGUGGAUGAUGUGGAUUAAUUCGAUGCAACGCGAAAAACCUUACCUACCCUUGACAUGUACGGAAGCCACGAGAGAUCGAGGUGUGCUCGAAAGAGAGCCGUAACACAGGUGCUGCAUGGCUGUCGUCAGCUCGUGUCGUGAGAUGUGUUAAGUCCCGCAACGAGCGCAACCCUUGUCAUUAGUUGCUACGAAAGGGCACUCUAAUGAGACUGCCGGUGACAAACCGGAGGAAGGUGGGGAUGACGUCAAGUCCUCAUGGCCCUUAUGGGUAGGGCUUCACACGUCAUACAAUGGUACAUACAGAGGGCCGCCAACCCGCGAGGGGGAGCUAAUCCCAGAAAGUGUAUCGUAGUCCGGAUUGUAGUCUGCAACUCGACUGCAUGAAGUUGGAAUCGCUAGUAAUCCGCGGAUCAGCAUGUCGCGGUGAAUACGUUCCCGGGUCUUGUACACACCGCCCGUCACACCAUGGGAGCGGGUUUUACCAGAAGUAGGUAGCUUAACCGCAAGGAGGGCGCUUACCACGGUAGGAUUCGUGACUGGGGUG
rnacentral:rRNA from 1 species